rnacentral:rRNA from 1 species
UACGGGGGGGGCUAGCGUUGUUCGGAAUUACUGGGCGUAAAGGGCGCGUAGGCGGUCUGCUAAGGUGGAUGUGAAAACUCUGGGCUUAACCCAGAGCCUGCAUUCAAUACUGACAGGCUAGAGUUCUGGAGGGGAUAGCGGAAUUCCUGGUGUAGCGGUGGAAUGCGCAGAUAUCAGGAGGAACACCGAUGGCGAAGGCAGCUCGCUGGGACGGUACUGACGCUGAGGCGCGAAAGCGUGGGGAGCGAACAGG